GCUGGGUGUGGUGGUGCGCACCUGUAACCCAAGCUACUUGGGAGGCUGAGGUGAGAGGAUCACUUGAGUCCAGGUAUUCAAGGCAGCAGUGAGCUGUGAUUGUGCUACUGCACUCCAGCCUGAGAAACAAAGUGAGACCCCAUCUCUU
ensembl:misc_RNA Metazoa_SRP Metazoan signal recognition particle RNA